rnacentral:rRNA from 1 species
AGCGGUAAGGCCCCUUCGGGGGUACACGAGCGGCGAACGGGUGAGUAACACGUGAGCAAUCUGCCCUUCACACGGGGAUAACCACCGGAAACGGUGGGCUAAUACCCGAUACGACCACUUCAGGCAUCUGAUGGUGGUGGAAAGUUCCGGCGGUGGAGGAUGAGCUCGCGGCCUAUCAGCUUGUUGGUGGGGUAAUGGCCUACCAAGGCAACGACGGGUAGCCGGCCUGAGAGGGUGACCGGCCACACUGGGACUGAGACACGGCCCAGACUCCUACGGGAGGCAGCAGUGGGGAAUAUUGGACAAUGGGCGAAAGCCUGGAUCCAGCAACGCCGCGUGAGGGAUGACGGCCUUCGGGUUGUAAACCUCUUUCAGCAGGGACGAAGCGCAAGUCACGGUACCUGCAGAAGAAGCACCGGCCAACUACGUGCCAACAGCCGCGGUAAUACGUAGGGUGCGAGCGUUGUCCGGAAUUAUUGGGCGUAAAGGGCUCGUAGGCGGUUUGUCGCGUCGGGAGUGAAAACUCAGGGCUUAACCCUGAGCCUGCUUCCGAUACGGGCAGACUAGAGGUAUGCAGGGGAGAACGGAAUUCCUGGUGUAGCGGUGAAAUGCGCAGAUAUCAGGAGGAACACCGGUGGCGAAGGCGGUUCUCUGGGCAUUACCUGACGCUGAGGAGCGAAAGUGUGGGGAGCGAACAGGAUUAGAUACCCUGGUAGUCCACACCGUAAACGUUGGGCGCUAGGUGUGGGACUCAUUCCACGAGUUCCGUGCC